GAAUGGUUUAAGAAAGAUUAUAAGCCCCCUGUUUUUGAGGAGCCUAAGAUUGCAAACUUGGAUGAUGUAGAAGCUGUCUUCAAAGAUUCAGAAGAGCACCAUGUGACAGAGAAGAAGGAAGAACACCCAGCAGCUAUGAAUGCCUUCGAGUUAAUUUCAAUGUCGAAAGGGCUCAACCUGGCAAAUUUGUUUGGUACAGAACAGGAAUUCAAGAGAGAAACAAGGUUCACCUCUAAAUGCUCAGCUAAUGAAAUUGUAAAUAAGAUCGAAGAAGCUGCAAAACCUCUUGGUUUUGAUGUACAAAAGAAAAAUUACAAGAUGAGGCUUGAAAAUGUGAAAGCCGGUCGGAAGGGAAACCUUAAUGUUGCCACAGAGAUUCUGCAAGUUGCGCCUUCUGUCCAUGUGGUUGAGAUGAGAAAAGCAAAGGGAGACACUUUAGAGUUUCACAAGUUCUACAAAAACCUCUCCACCUCCCUGGAGGAUGUUGUUUGGAAGACGGAGGAAGACAUGCAGGAAACAAAGUGAAACUCGACGCAGUUCGAAUUGGGAAGAACAAAAUAUUGUAAAUGCUUCAGGACUGCUGUUUCCUUAACCCUCAACUCUCAUGUGUUCAGUCGAUUGUUUUCCAUUUUAUUGUAGGAAAGCAUGGAAAAAGCUCCCAAAAAAAUGAGCUGUGAUGAUGUUUUUGAUCUUACAUUUGAAACUUGGGUUCUCA
rnacentral:misc_RNA from 1 species